rnacentral:rRNA from 1 species
AACCGGACGUAACAAACAAGAUGAUGCCUACUCAAACUGUUUAAAAGAUGGUUCUGCUAUCACUCUUGGAUGGACCUGCGGUGCAUUAGCUAGUUGGUAGGGUAACGGCCUACCAAGGCGAUGAUGCAUAGCCGAGUUGAGAGACUGAUCGGCCACAUUGGGACUGAGACACGGCCCAAACUCCUACGGGAGGCAGCAGUA